GCAAACCCUGCAUUUCCCGAAACCCUAGAAAUCUCUCUCUCUCUCUCUCCGUCUGGCUCUCCCCUUCGCCAUUCUCGUAAUCUGCAAGUGUUCGCUUGCAGAAAGCUAAUUUUGAUUUCAAUUCAAUCAAAUUUCUGCAAUUGAUUCGUUGGUGAUGGCCCAGGGAAAAGUCAGUCUCGCUCAAGAACUCCUCCCCUCGCCGAUCUUCUCCGCCACCAAAGACUCGGAGAUGGCACAGAGGGAAGAGUUCGAGAUGAGCGUCGCAGGAUCUGGAGAGGUGGAGCCUUCGAUCAGUUAGAUCCUUGGAAAGAUUGACAGGUUCACGGAGAUUGUGAGUGUUUUCGGUUCUUGUGGAUCCGCAGUUUUGAUUUGUUGAUUUCAUGUGAUGUUUGGAAGGCUGAAGAAAGGAUGAAGAAUCAGGUUGGUCGAUUCAUUUUAAGUCAUUUUUCAUUUUGAUUUUACAGUAUGUGAGUUUGAUAAUUAAAUAGAAAAGAAACGGGUAUGAUCUAUGGUGUGGUCACAAUUGUUGUCAAGCAAGAACAAUUGGCUUAAUUGAAUUGACGAAUUGAUUUUCUUGUAAGAUUAGUAUUUUGUUUGGAACACAGAUAUAAGGGCAAUGACAGAGAUCGAGUUGUUGAGGCACUACUUCCAGAACACUCAAGGUCUUAUUUUUGUGGUUGAUCGCAAUGACAUGGAUCGAGUUGUUGAGGCAAGGGAUGAGUUGCACAGGAUGUUGAAUUAGUUUUUCAUCCAUUAUUGUCAGAGUUCAAGAAAAUAUUUCGAACAAGUCUAAGAGCCAGGAAAUUGUUUGACGAGUUACUCAGAGUUAAGAGACAGCAACAACAUCGCCAUUUAGAACGUGAUACUAAGCAACAAAGGAUGGUCUCUGAUCUUGAAGCAAGAGAACGAGCUGCCUUUGCUCCAGACCCAGCAGCCACAGAAAGAGAAGAAUAGGAGAGAAUUGUUAGGAAACUUGCUGAAGAGGUUUCGAGAAUACGUCCAAUGCAUGCGAGUAAAAGGGCGCCUACUGCUUCAGUUCCCAAAAUAGAGAAUGGGAGAGUUGGGAAGGAGAGUGUGGGUGGUGCUGAGUUGGGAAGAAUAGAAAAAACGUAGCAAAAUGGAAAAGAAAGUUCGAUGUGCAUUAAAUAGAUUUCUAUUGCUUUCUCUGUUAGGAAAAUGGGAAGGAAAGUUCGAUGAGUUAAAGUUUAUUAACUGAAUGGUAAAUAGGAUUAUUUUUUUGUUUUUGUUAAGAGUGAUGUAUGACUACGUACUGUUUUGUUUUUGCAGACUAUAUACUACUCGUCACCUACGUCUCCUGGUGCCGAAUGCAUUGAUCUUAAUUGUACUUGGGUGGAGCAAUGAUAAAAAAAUUUCUCAACUCUUUAUCUGAUUGUAGCGUUUAGUGUUUGA